AGCGACAGGCCUCGGGUCUGCAGCGCGGGGAUGCGCUCGGCCAGGUAGCGACUCUUCUCGGCCUCCCGCGCCUCGUGCUCUUGCUCCCAGCACUCCUUGGCCUUGGCCAGCAUCAGGCUCUGCGCAGGACACGCCCGAUUCAGAGACUCAGCUCCCUGACCGAGGGGCUGAAUCCUGCAAGACACUGCGUGGGUCACAGGGUCUGGGCACCCCCUUCCUCAUCUGUGAGUCAGGAUGCUGAGACCCACCUUACCCGGUCCACAGAGGGACUACAGACAGAAUGAGAUGGUGGGUGAGCACCGGCUUCGAACAGCGUGCCUGAGGCACGUGGCCUGGCGCGCUGGGGCAACGUUGUGUCACCAGAGAAGUAAGCCCUGAGUUCCCUCAGUAAAGACACUCCAUCUCUUUAGACGUCCAAACUCUUCUUGAUGUCAACACAAUCCAUGUAAAUUGCUCUCAGUUAUGCAGACAAUAUUUUCUCUUCUUAUUAAAAAUGCUUGACAUCUC